CUGCGGCGGUGACGAGAAGGGCUCCCAGAGUCAGGGCUGCCCAGGCACGGGCGGUGGGAAGUGAGGCAAUUUUCUCCAGGCCCCGCAGGGUAUGUCGGAGGCUCCCCAUCCCCUGGUGUCUCAGCUGGUAAGGGGGCGGGGCUGCGUGCCGCAGCUGAGCGGCGGGAACUCAGGCCCAGCUGGAGACACCACACCGCUGCAGCACUGUCGGGGAGAGGGGGAUGAAUGGCUUUCACCUCCUCCUCAAGAGGUGAAUAACAUAUUGAAUGACGGAGGAAGGGGGAAAAUGGAAGAUAUUAAUCAUGCUGAUCAUUUCAUAUGAAGAUUUGAGAGUCUGAUACAAGUGGUGUUAGACCACUGUGCAGACUUCAACAGCUCUUCUUCCAGGCUUGUUCAGCUGAUUUUCCAUGAGCACAAGAUUUCUUCAUGAAGUGUGAGAAUUUUUACACAAUGAUUCUUUGAACAUAACAGAGUGUUGAUUUCCAAUAAGGAUCUGCCACAUCUCUGAGCACUUGGCAGAAGCUUGAUUAGGAAGAAAUAAAGACAGGAUAGCCGUUCUGUAUUUUAAAACAGCUGCUACAUCUUUUGUGUCCUCCUGAAAUCAAAGCAAAAUACCAGAAAUAAUGUGCCUUUAAGGGUCAUAUCAUGCCAGGUUGUUGGCAGUAUUCAUCAGAUGGAACUGAAAUUAAUCUACCACAUUUCAUGUCCUGAACAAACUGAUCUUCAGAGGAAAUUUUGAACCAUAUUAUUUACAACACCCACAUCCAGGGCCGGCUCUAGCCGUUUCGCCGCCCCAAGCACAGUGGCACGCCCCGGGAGCGCUCUGCCGCUCGCCGGUCCUGCGGCUCCGGUGGACCUCCUGCAGAUGUGCCUGCGGAUGCUCCACCGGAGCCCCAGGACCAGCGGACCCUCCACAGGCACGCCUGCGGGAGGUCCACCGGAGCCGCCUGCCGCCCUCUCGGCUACCGGCAGAGCGCCCCCUGCCACAUGCCGCCCCAAGCAUGCGCUUAGCGCGUUGGGGCCUGGAGCCGGCCCUGCCCACAUCAUACAGUUUUUGCCAGCUGAAUACCUGUGACCUAGUGGCUGGCUAGGUUUUCAGAAACCAUUUCAAUUUUCAAAGAUUUCCAGACACAAUCAGAUGUUACUAGUAAGUUGUUUGUUUCUAUUCAUAGCCUUAUGAAUGCGGUCUGAGUUAAGUAAUUACUUUCUAUUUGGCACCUAAAUUGGGAAACUAAAUUAUUCUCAUUGAUUCAUCCAAUUAUCACGGAGUAUUUCUGCCAGCCCAACAUGACUAACAUCUUUGUUGACAAGCAUUCAGAUGAAAGCAAUAUACACACCUCUAUAAAUGAGCUGUUAUCCUGAAGUCUGGAUAUCUGGAAUUUCGGUCUUUAUUCAUAAUGGCCAAUUCAUCAGGCAAGUUAUAAAGCUUCUAUACAGAAAACAUGAAGGAGUCUUGACAUAAAAUGUGUAGAGACUAGGAUAUUAUAUUGCCACAUUGUAUUUUGUCUUUCAGCUUCUUUUGUACCUAUAUAAUACACAUUGCAUUUUAUUAAUAUCCCUAUUAUAGCCUUUAUCAAAAUAAUAAUAGGUGUUAUCCCUUCAUGUACCCAAAUGUAUAACAGUUAACUGUGAUUAUUGAAAUAAUAUUUGUCUCGUCGAAGCAUAUUAAGAGAAAAACAGAGAUGUGAUAACUAUAUUGGGUACAACUUUGGUGGUUUACAAUAUUAAAUAAAACAGACGUGCUUUUUCAUUUAAGAUUAACAUUAUUCAUCUUUUAAGGGACAUGCUUUUAUAAUUGUUUGACUACAUAACAUGCCUGUUCAUGUAAAAGUCUUAUAUUAUUGCUUAUAAAACAUUACAAUAGGUGACAAUAUGUUAUGUAAUCUCACCUUGAAUCCAAACUACUAGAUUGUAAAUCCACAUGGCAGUACCGUAUAUUGAAAUGCCAUAUCUCCAUGUAUAGCAGCAAAUGCACAUUUAUUAUGUUUACUAUAUUCCCUCUGAUGCAGUUCUAAAUAGCCACAACAAAAUGUAAAGCACAAGGUCUAAAUGUUUAAUUGUAUAUCUAUUCAUGUUUAAAAUUUAAUUAAUAUCCUUUAUAGGGGUGAAAAAAACCCCACACCUGUCCUCAACAAACUCCACUAUUAUGACCAGUAUCAUUAAUAAGGAAGAUGUUUGACCCUACUAGCUAAGCUAUUUUAAGUGCAUGGCUUACCUAUGUCAUAAGAAACUUGAAGUAAAGUACAUUGCUCUGGGGCGUGAACUUGCUCAUAUUAAAGUCAACUGCAGUUUUGCUACUGACUUUACUAGGAGCAGGAUUGGACUCCUGGUUGUAAACUUGUCUGCUGCAAAAGGAAAUUACCCUAACCGAGCUCCUAUUCUAUUAUCCUGACUCAUCAUUUUCAAGUGUCUGCAAGAGGAUAAAUUGGUACAGUAUGCACAUUGCUACAGUAUUCACACUACUACAUUAUUGCAAGGAAUAUUGAUUUCCUUAACAUUAGUAUUCAUCAUUCUUUGUUUGAGACUUGUAUGCUCACUGAAAUUGAAUUGAUGUGAUUGCAUGUUUCUUGUAUGUGUGAAAAAUGUUGUUUAUCAGGUAACUGCAUUCUGCAGGUUACUUUGAAGUCAAAAUAUCAACUGUGCCGUU